rnacentral:rRNA from 1 species
UACGGUAGGGUGCGAGCGUUGUCCGGAAUUAUUGGGCGUAAAGAGCGUGUAGGCGGCCAAACAGGUCCGUUGUGAAAACUGGAGGCUCAACUUCCAGACGUCGACGGAAACCGUGUGGCUAGAGUCCGGAAGAGGAGAGUGGAAUUCCUGGUGUAGCGGUGAAAUGCGCAGAUAUCAGGAAGAACACCAAUGGCGAAGGCAGCUCUCUGGGACGGUACUGACGCUGAGACGCGAAAGCGUGGGAGCGAACAGG